rnacentral:lncRNA from 1 species
CAACUCUUUUAUAUAUCUAAUUAAUUCUAGGUAUGCUGGAGUUCCCGUCGUGGCGCAGUGGUUAACGAAUCCGACUAGGAACCAUGAGGUUGCGGGUUCGGUCCCUGCCCUUGCUCAGUGGGUUAACGAUCCGGCGUUGCCGUGAGCUGUGGUGUAGGUUGCAGACGUGGCUCGGAUCCCACGUUGCUGUGGCUCUGGCAUAGGCUGGCAGCUACAGCUCCGAUUAGACCCCUAGCCUAGGAAAACUCCAUACGCCGCGGGAGCAGCCCGAGAAAUAGCAAAAAGACAAAAAAUAAUAAUAAUAAUAAUAAUAAUAAUAAUUCUAGGUAUGCUAAACGUGUAUGUUUCUGUUUAAAAAUGAUUUUGUCCCCCUCUUUGUAGAUCUUCUAAUUGGAAGAAAGAAAAUCUUUUGAAGUAGAAGUUCAGUGAAGGGCCUCAUUGUUUCAUAACCCUAGGGGCAAAGCAUUGUCUCUCUUCACUCCAAGCCCCCCAAGAAGCACAGAGUCUGCACUCAGAUGUUUUCUCUUGGUUUGUCAGUCAUGCUGUUCAUGCUGUUCUCAUCCUUUCAAACAUGGUAAAUGUGGUAAAGACAUUUAUGAACAAAGGGAUGAAGUGUUUCUGAAGGACCACCCGAGAGAGUCAGGGGACAUAUCUUCAUGUUUAAGGUAGGUCUUACAGAGUGAGUCUAAAUUUGUCAGGUGUAAAGGUGGAAGAAGGGCAUUCUAGAAAAAAAUGAAGUGGAAUAUUAUGUGCAAAGCUCAGCAUAGAAAGGUUAUGGUGUGUUUGGAAAACAGCAAAAAGCAGAUAAGGCUAAAAUAAUUCUAGCUGUCAGCAUGGAGGAUAGAAAGAGUAAAGAUGGAUUGGUGACAAUAGAGACAGGUGGGAGGCUAUCUCAGCAAUUAGCCAACCGCUACUGAGGGCUCAGACCAAGAAGGUUAGUGGGAAUGAAGACAAUAAGUUGGAUUCAAAAAAUAUUUCAGAGGUAGCAUAAGCAGCAUUUGAUGAUGGAAUAAUUGUUUCAGGGAAAUUAUGCAGUGAAUUUGGGGGACAAUGACCCAUUAAACGAGACAGCAAAUACAAGUGGUAAAGCAGGUUUGGGAUGCUCAGAUAAAAGAGUGGAAACACACCUAACGCAAAUGCUGGGGGAAGCAUGUCCAUACCCAUGCCUAUGGGGAAAUGGAAGUAAAGAGGAUGAAACAACUUUCUAGCACUUUAUUCUUCCUGUUUUCAAAAAUAACUUGAGACAACUGUCAAUAUUUGUGGUGGUGCACACAGUUGCUUAUAUUAGUUUCUGUAGUUUUUAAUUUUAAAAAGUAAUGCUUGGAAUUAUUUCUUUAAAAGAAAUAAUGUAUCAAGCCUCUGGAAUACCCACUAUGUGCUUGGAACUGUUCUAGGCAUUUGAGAUAUUUGCCUUCUACUUGCCUCUUCCUUUCAGGAGUGAUCCAGCUGGACUUUAGAAAUAGGUGGUUCCAUUUUGCCCCGAGGCCAGUGACUCUUCCUUCCUGGGUCUCUUUCACCUCUCAACUCCUAUGAUUCAAUACUGUAAGGGCAACACAGUAUUCCUUAUUCUCACCGAGGUGGGCCCCACAGUGCAGUUCAUUGCCAUAAUUCCUUUCGGGGAGUGUACCUGAAGGGCUGAUUUACUUAGAACGUUUUCCAAAUGGUCUUUUACACCUCUGCCUCCUACCCAAUCGUAGCCAAAAAUAAUUGAUUUUCCUCAUGGACUUUCAAACUUGCAAGGGAAUCUCGGUAACAUUUUUGGUAAUGGGGUAAUCCUAAUUCCUUACUAACCAAGAGCAGCAAUUUCUGUACUUUAAGCUUUACGCGCUGUGAGCGAACAGUUAAAAACAAAAUAAAAAUUUCUCCUUUCACGCAGUUUACAUUCUAAUGAACGGAGAUGUCAAAAAAAACAACAAAAACAAACAAUACAAGGACGACACAGUGCAUCAUUAUUGUGCAGGGCAAAGUAAGGUGAGUAGUGAAAUACGAGUCUCUUGACUCCUGAGAAACCGAAUCUUAAGUAAAUUCUUCCGGGUCUCUGACCUCCGCCCGCUUGGGUUUCAUACUCCGCCCACUGCCCCACCUUCUGGCACUGGCCACACCCACGCUCAUGACGUCUAUUUUCCCGGCCCUGGCUCACUGACCUGGCCAAUCGAAAGCCACAGACCCGCUAGAGCCCCCUUAAGCCCCGCCUGGUGA